rnacentral:rRNA from 1 species
GACUGAGACACGGCCCAGACUCCUACGGGAGGCAGCAGUAGGGAAUCUUCCGCAAUGGACGAAAGUCUGACGGAGCAACGCCGCGUGAACGAUGAAGGUCUUCGGAUCGUAAAGUUCUGUUGUUAGGGAAGAACAAGUACCGUGCGAAUAGAGCGGUACCUUGACGGUACCUAACGAGGAAGCCCCGGCUAACUACGUGCCAGCAGCCGCGGUAAUACGUAGGGGGCAAGCGUUGUCCGGAAUUAUUGGGCGUAAAGCGCGCGCAGGCGGUUCCUUAAGUCUGAUGUGAAAGCCCACGGCUCAACCGUGGAGGGUCAUUGGAAACUGGGGAACUUGAGGAGGACAGAGGAGAGUGGAAUUCCACGUGUAGCGGUGAAAUGCGUAGAUAUGUGGA